rnacentral:rRNA from 1 species
CCUACGGGUGGCAGCAGUGGGGAAUAUUGGGCAAUGGGCGCAAGCCUGACCCAGCAACGCCGCGUGAAGGAAGAAGGCUUUCGGGUUGUAAACUUCUUUUAAGAGGGAAGAGCAGAAGACGGUACCUCUUGAAUAAGCCACGGCUAACUACGUGCCAGCAGCCGCGGUAAUACGUAGGUGGCCAGCGUUGUCCGGAUUUACUGGGUGUAAAGGGCGUGUAGCCGGGCUGACAAGUCAGAUGUGAAAUCCCGUGGCUCAACCACGGAACUGCAUUUGAAACUGUCGGUCUUGAGUAUCGGAGAGGCAGGCGGAAUUCCUAGUGUAGCGGUGAAAUGCAUAGAUAUCACACAGAACACCGAUUGCGAAGGCAUCUCACGAAUCCGCGAUUGACGCUGAUGCACGAAAGCGUGGGUAUCAAACAGGAUUAGAUACCCCAGUAGUC